rnacentral:rRNA from 1 species
AGGGGCAGCAUGGUCUUAGCUUGCUAAGGCUGAUGGCGACCGGCGCACGGGUGAGUAACACGUAUCCAACCUGCCGUCUACUCUUGGCCAGCCUUCUGAAAGGAAGAUUAAUCCAGGAUGGCAUCAUGAGUUCACAUGUCCGCAUGAUUAAAGGUAUUUUCCGGUAGACGAUGGGGAUGCGUUCCAUUAGAUAGUAGGCGGGGUAACGGCCCACCUAGUCAACGAUGGAUAGGGGUUCUGAGAGGAAGGUCCCCCACAUUGGAACUGAGACACGGUCCAAACUCCUACGGGAGGCAGCAGUGAGGAAUAUUGGUCAAUGGGCGAUGGCCUGAACCAGCCAAGUAGCGUGAAGGAUGACUGCCCUAUGGGUUGUAAACUUCUUUUAUAAAGGAAUAAAGUCGGGUAUGCAUACCCGUUUGCAUGUACUUUAUGAAUAAGGAUCGGCUAACUCCGUGCCAGCAGCCGCGGUAAUACGGAGGAUCCGAGCGUUAUCCGGAUUUAUUGGGUUUAAAGGGAGCGUAGAUGGAUGUUUAAGUCAGUUGUGAAAGUUUGCGGCUCAACCGUAAAAUUGCAGUUGAUACUGGAUGUCUUGAGUGCAGUUGAGGCAGGCGGAAUUCGUGGUGUAGCGGUGAAAUGCUUAGAUAUCACGAAGAACUCCGAUUG